rnacentral:rRNA from 1 species
UACGUAGGGUGCAAGCGUUGUCCGGAAUUAUUGGGCGUAAAGGGCUCGUAGGCGGCUCGACAAGUCGGCCGUGAAAUCUCCAGGCUCAACUUGGAGGGGUCGGGCGAGACUGUCGGGCUCGAGGUGGGCAGAGGGCAGUGGAAUUCCGAGUGUAGAGGUGAAAUUCGUAGAUAUUCGGAAGAACACCAGUGGCGAAGGCGACUUACUGGACACAUAUUGACGCUGAGGUGCGAAAGCGUGGGGAGCAAACAGG